rnacentral:rRNA from 1 species
ACUCUCGGCAACGGAUAUCUCGGCUCUCACAUCGAUGAAGAACGUAGCGAACUGCGAUACUUGGUGUGAAUUGCAGAAUCCCGUGAACCAUCGAGUCUUUGAACGCAAGUUGCGCCCGAAGCCAUUAGGCCGAGGGCACGUCUGCCUGGGCGUCACGC